CACACGCUGAGCAAUAGCUCCGUGCCUGCCUACUUUAUGGGUUAUAGAUAAACCUAUAGAUAACGGAGACAUAUAUAAUAGUCUCCUUCUUGUUGUAGCCGUAGAUGUUAUAACGUGACGACAGGCUGUCCUCACUCAGGUCCGGCUGGAAAUCGGGAGAAAUUCGGGAGAAUGGUUGUCCCGGGAGAUUUUCGGGAGAGGCACUGAAAUUCGGGAGUCUCCCGGAAAAUUCGGGAGGGUUGGCAAAGAGGGAGUUAGGCUGAGUCCACUCUCAGUGCUGCUGGAGUGAUCGCCAAGUGCCGAAGUGCGAAACACCGGCUGAGUCGGCAACCAGGCGUCACACGCAACCCAGCCAACAAACCAGCCUGCAAAGAUGGAGGGAAUCGCUGUGGACUUAGACUUAGAGAGGAGCGGGAACCCUGGAAGAAGAGGACUCUCCUUUCAAGCAGUAACACACUGCCCCUCCUCCCUGCCCCCUACUCUCUCUGCCUCCCCUCCCUUCUUUGCCUUGUGUCUUUGCUCUAGUCCUCUCGUCAAUUUG